GGAAAUAAAGUUUCAAAUUUUAAAAAUAAAAAAUAAAUAUAAAAAAAUUUCAAAAGAAAGAGUUAUUUUAAUCAUUUUCUUUAUUAAGUGUUAUUUUAUGACAAAACUUAAAAAUAAAUGAUUAUUUGAAAGAAUUGUCCGUAUUUAUUCCCCUUUUUUUGGUAUUUUACGAUUGCAGGUCCCAUGAUUUAUUAUUUUCACAAGUAACCCAUCCACUUAUGAAACGCUUAAUUAAAUUAAGACCUCCCAGAUGAUUUAUUACAGAUCCAACGAGUACAGUUUCCAGACUAGUGUCAAUCGUAACAUCGGGUUUCGUUAAUUAGAUUUUGGAGAAGUUAUUUUCUUAGCUAGUAGUUUUUUUUUUGAUAUUUCAUUAAAUUAAAACAGUUUUUUUUAAUACCAAAGUACAACAUACGUAAAAAAAAAAUCAGUUUCAAUGUAUGUUAUUAAAUUUAAGUGUUUAUAAUUUAUAUUUUAACGAUAGAACCGUAACCAUCGGAGAGCUUCAUAACAUUUGCACCACAAAUAUUAGUCCUCGCAUGAAGGAGAAUGAUAACUUAAGAGAGUUUUUGUAAAAAAGUUUCACCCAAUGCGGAGCUGCCACGGCAGUUGCUUCACCUGGACAGGGGACAGGUGGCACUGUGAAAAUGUCGUAGCGUGAUAGUGCGGACGCGCAUGAAGAAGGUCCUUGUCUGGAUCCAAUGCUAUGUUGGCGCGUCGGGCACGUGUUCAAAUUGUGCUUUAGUACUACAAAACACCUUAUUGGAACUCUGCAAACCAAACAAAGACCACUUAUUUUUUAUUUUUCUGGUAAAUGGCAUUCAACAAAGACCACUUAUUCCAUUUACUAACACUUACUUGUCUCUCUUGUUAUCAUAAUAGUCUGAAUAAUUUUGAAAUUCAUUCCGUCUAUUGUGACAUAUUUAUUUAUUAGUUUUCUGAGAAACACUGUUAGAAAAUUUCACGUAAGAAAAUACAAAAAGGACUUGUUCUAUUUACCGUAACACUUACUCGUCUUUCUUAAUAUCUUCUAAAUAAUUUUAAAAAUCAUUCUGUCUAUCUUAUACAAUAAAGGAGAGUUGUCUCUCUCCUCCUUCCUCCACGUCCUCAAAGAGAGUGGGGCUUUUGCCGACACGUGUCAGCACAGCAGGCUACUUGCGAAAUUAUUUUUUCUCCAGCCGGAUCUUUUAAUUCACUUAUUUGAACUGGGCUUUUUAAUUAUUUCUGUUAACAAGAGUCCAAAGUGGACCUCUUAAGUUUAUUAAUGUAUUGGCCCAGACACACUCUUCUCCUUCUCCGUCGGUCUUCAUUUUAUUAGAUCCCUUAGAUUAGCAACGACGAUCUCCUUACUCUUCUGUAACGUUUUCUUCCUCAUUCAAUCCUGAUCAUAACUAUUUGCUAUUAACUCUCUCCUUCAGACCCUCCCACUAUGCCGAUCUUAAAUAUUCUCUCCCAAUUUCAUGGCAAAUCCCUAAAUUGUUAUACUAUAAAUACAUAUGAAGACUCUGCCGAAUCACAAAGCUUCACCAUCUUCUUUCUUUGUAUAUAAACAACAGAGUUUGGAUUGUUUUCUCAAAUAAAUUUGUAGGCUUUUCACAAUCGUAAAAUGCACUGGCUGAGUUUGCAUGGGUUGCAAGGAAAAAAAGCAAGUUGUAGCAGGAAUGAUGCAUCAUCUCACCCUGGAGUGAAGCCAUGGUUGACCUUCAAAGAGUUGCAGGAAUUCAAGCCCCUACCAUUAAUCUUUCCAAUCUUGGCUGCAAAAAAAAAAGAUGGCCAUGACUCUGGAUGCAAGGAAGUGCAAUACGUUUCUUGAUCAUGUCAAGACCAUCUAACAAAGAUCAAACUCACUGUUCACUUAUGAACUUCAGGAGGCCCGUCAAAGCCACAAGAGAAUUGGAGUGAUACGCAAAGAUACUACAACGGAUAAUCAACAAAUAGUGGGCCUCUCUUAUCCCUAAUGCAAGAUUUAGCAUGGGUUCAAGAUAUCGAUGAUUGAGACCAUUAAAAAGGAGAAACAUUAUCUGUCUUAUGACUUCCAUUUUUGUGUAUAUCAAAUGGCAAUUUGGCAAGAGAUGUAAUAAUAUUAUUAUCAUCAUUUCUCUGUUCGGUAGCGAGAAACGUUGAGAGCUUAAAAUAUUUGGUAUCGUGCGGUUUCGAUAUUCUUUUACGUUUUGGGAUUAAAUAUCCGGGGAACUCUUUUUCAAAUCUUAGCUUUUACCACUCAUAUCAGUUAGUGACAAACACUCGAGUUGCUAUGACUUUGUGGUAAUUAUUUUCUACCGUCUAAAUCUUGACCUAACUUCAGUUUGGUCUUUCAUAUUUUUUAUCCGUAUGCGUAUAAGUUAUAACGUUAUAGAAAGGUUGGUGAUAUAUCUUUUUUACUUCGAGAUCAAUAUAUAUUUUUCUUUUUUAUUUCUUAUACAGUGUUCUAAAUUUAUUAACCCUCUAAUAAGCAAAGUGUAUGCAGCUCCUUCGCAUCAAAUUAUAUUAAUCCUCUAAGAGCAAGCCGACAAUGCAAAGUAUAUGCAGCUCCUUCGCGUCGAAUUAUGCAUAAAGAGGAUUCAUGGGUCCAGUGGAAGUUGCAUUACGAAUGAUGUUCAUUAUUAUUAAUAAUAAAAAUUUAUACUCUGAAACUUAGAUAAAAAUACAAAAAAAUUGUGAUAAGUAUUUAUAGGUUACAUUUGGCUCAGGAGUUUUCGGUCUUAGAGUUUGGAAAAUAAUAAAUUAUCUAGCACAAAAAGAAAUAAUGAGAAUUAUAAAACUAAAACUUUACGACAACUUUUUAAGGCAUAUAUUAUUUAUUAGACAUUAUAUAUUUAACAUCUAAUAUAUAAACAAAAUUAAAAAAAAAAACAUAAUUAAUAUGUACAAAAGAUGAAUUGAAGAUAAAGAAUGGUUUCAUUAAAUAAAAAAAAUUAAAAAUAAAUGAUAACAGUUAAAUAAUAGAAUAU